AAACUGGCCAGGGCCUCAUGGGGAAGCUGCUCAGACUGAGAACAGUUAUCGGAGGAAAUGAGGAAAGCAGUGGCCUCUAUCAGAGGUCACCAGAAGCUAUGCCUGUAGUGAAUCAAGGCAGGAAGCAAAGAAAACAGACUGAAAGGAUUAACAGGAGGCUGAGUCAAGUGGAUGAAGAAAUUCUUGUUCACUAAGGUUUCCACUGUAGAAGCUUGAAGACCCAACUACACUGAGCAACACCCACAUAAAAAUGUCAGGCAUGAAGCUAACAACCAACAGAGCCAGUUAGUAAGGGUCAAGUUCAGUGAGAGACCCUGCCUCCAAAGAGGUACAUUAGUGUGAGAGGAGGGCACACACAUGCAGUUUCCUGAGGACACUCUGCUUGGAAAUUCAAUCAGUCCCACAGGCUAAGUACCUAGUCCCUCAAGACUGCCCCUACCUCUGCCAUCUUUGGACAUCUGAUCUCAAUUCUGCCUGGUCACCCGCAUUCCUGAGUGACCAGCUAUAAACUAUCUCUCUG
rnacentral:lncRNA from 1 species